CCUUGACCUCAUUUUCAUGGUUCAGUGGUUAUAGUUAAGUUUUUGUGUUUUGGUCUGUUUUUCUUAUACUGUAUGCAAUAGGUCUACUAUAUUUGGUGUAUGGAAUGAUUGUAAGGUGUACAUGUCUAGCUGGCAGGUGUCAUCUGACCUUGACCUCAUUUUCAUGGUUCAGUGGUCAAAGUUAAGUUUUUGAGUUUUGGUCUUUCUUUCUAAUACUGCAUGCAAUAGGUCAGCUAUAUUUGGUGUAUGGAAUGAUUGUAAGGUGUACAUGUCUAGCUGGCAGGUGUCAUCUGACCUUGACCUCAUUUUCAUGGUUCAGUGGUUAUAGUUAAGUUUUUGUGUUUUGGUCUGUUUUUCUUAUACUGUAUGCCAUAGGUCUACUAUAUUUGGUGUAUGGAAUGAUUGUAAGGUGUACAUGUCUAGCGGGCAGGUGUCAUCUGACCUUGACCUCAUUUUCAUGGUUCAGUGGUCAAAGUUAAGUUUUUGAGUUUUGGUCUUUUUUUCUAAUACUAUGUGCAAUAGUUCAACUAUAUUUGGUAUGUGCGUACCUUGCAAGGUCCUCAUGCCCGUCAGACAGUUUUCACUUGACCUCGACAUCAUUUCAUGGAUCAAUGAACAAGGUUAAGUUUUGGUGGUCAAGUCCAUAUCUCAGAUACUAUAAGCAAUAGGUCUAGUAUAUUCGGUGUAUGGAAGGACUGUAAGGUGUACAUGUCCAACUGGCAGGUGUCAUCUGACCUUGACCUCAUUUUCAUGGUUCAGUGGUUAUAGUUAAGUUUUUGUGUUUUGGUCUGUUUUUCGUAUACUGUAUGCCAUAGGUCUACUAUAUUUGGUGUAUGGAAUGAUUGUAAGGUGUACAUGUCUAGCGGGCAGGUGUCAUCUGACCUUGACCUCAUUUUCAUGGUUCAGUGGUUAUAGUUAAGUUUUUGUGUUUUGGUCUGUUUUUCUUAUACUGUAUGCAAUAGUUCAACUAUAUUUGGUGUAUGGAAAUAUUUUAUGAUCUAUUUGGCAGUCACGCAGGUUUUAUUUGACCUUGACCUCAUUUUCAAGGUUCAUUGCUCAGUGUUAAGUUUUUGUGUUUUGGUCUGUUUUUCUUAAACUAUAAGCAAUAGGUCAACUCUAUUUGUUGUAUGGAAGAAUUGUUAGCUGUACAUGCCUGCCUAGCAUGGUUCAUCUGACCUUGACCUCAUUUUCAUGGU